rnacentral:misc_RNA from 1 species
UCUCAGUUUGCACUGGCAGUCUCGUUAGAGUUCCCGACAUGACUCGCUGGCAACUAACAACAGGGGUUGCGCUCGUUAUAGGACUUAACCUGACACCUCACGGCACGAGCUGACGACAACCAUGCAGCACCUGUGUACGGACUCCGAAGAGGGACCGAUGUUUCCACCGGCUUUCCCGUACAUGUCAAGCCCAGGUAAGGUUCUUCGCGUUGCUUCGAAUUAAACCACAUGCUCCACCGCUUGUGCGGGCCCCCGUCAAUUCCUUUGAGUUUCAGUCUUGCGACCGUACUCCCCAGGCGGGGUACUUACUGCGUUAGCGACGGCACCGGGAGGGUCGCUCCCCCCGACGCCUAGUACCCAUCGUUUACGGCGUGGACUAC